rnacentral:lncRNA from 1 species
CUUGGUUCGUUCAAACAAAGCUUUCGGAGGCCAAAAGCGCUCCCGAAACCUUCCCAUGUUCGGCGGCCGAACUUCACUUUCGGCGGCCGAACCUGGCAAAUGCCUCAUUGGUCUUUUCUUUUCAAAACUCAAUUCUUUUCCAUUUAAAACCAUAAAAUCAGUAAAAACAUUUUAGAAAACACAUUUUACCCCUCUAGAAGCCUCUGGCA